ensembl:lncRNA
UCUUUUGUUUGGGAAGGUGGGGAGAAACCUUGUCUAUAUUAUCCAGAAGCGCAGAUAUUUGUUUGACACAAUAUUUAAAUUCAGCCCAAUCUUUAAUAUUAAAUUUUCUAUUUAAAUUGCUGGGAAAGCUGGACACCUUUGCAAUUAUAGGAAAAUAAUGUAGAUUUCUAAAGUUAUAAGUCCUGAUAAAACACUGCAAUUAAUGUCUAAUAAACACUUGGCUUACAGAAGAAACUCUCUGUAGUUCAUAGUCUAAAGUUGUUCCCAAACCAUGUCAUCGUCACAAAACUUUCUUUACCAAGAAAAAAGUAAAAUGUUUGAGACAGGAAGAGAGGGGAGAAGCGUGGACAGGGAGAAGUCAGUGAGCUCUGAGCAUCAGGGCUGGGGAUGGGGAGGCCAGUGGUACGUGGUACCUGGUUGGGACCUGCUGCUGGCAAUCUGUUUUGACCUCGUAGGGGGUUCCCCGGAGAUCAGUCUGCAGUUUGAGAACCCUCAAUUUAAGAAGAGCCUCAACAAUUUGUUAUGAGAGUUUGGUCAAAUACUUUCUCAUUAAGUCAGGAUCUAAAAUUGAUGAAUUCAAAAUUUAUAUAUUCUUCAAACCAUGUUUAUUGGAGCUGAAAAUGUUAAAAGACUGUCAAUACUAAUGGAGAAAAAGACUAAGACCUGAAAUUUAAAAUUAUUCAAAUGCGCAAGGGUUGAUGUUGAUCAUAGCCAUCUUGAGUUCAUUUCUGUAUGUGUGUGUGUGAAAAGCAUUUGAUGUGUGACAUUGUUCAUGUAAUCAUAGCUCUGGCCAUUUUGAAGUCAUUUUCAUCUUAAAACAUUUUGAGGAUGAUACCUUGUAAAAUAGUAAGUCUUUCUUAGCAUUUGCCUUCACUUUUGAGAAGGAAAAAAUCCUUUGCCAUUCCUUUAAGAAGAAUAACUAAGAUGAGCUAUUAUCCAGGUUUGCAUAGACGGUGCACACAAUACCAGUGUGAGCUUGGACAGGAAUAGAAUAAAUAAAUUCUCUCCUCAUUAAAGGCUGAUGCUAAUCCUGUUCUGUCUCAUUCUUUUCUUAGUCCAAGAGACUGGAAUGGGACACCCCUGAGGUUUCCAGUAAGAUAUCUGAAAGGAUUCCAUCAGGAGCGCAGGAAAUAUGUUUUUUCUCAGAGUUGUCCAGUUUCCACCUGCGUGUCCGUAUGGUUUGUGAACUCUUGCUUUCUUCUCAGCAUCCUGAUCCAUGAGCGCUUCCUUGCUUGGCUUUCUCCUCUUGGCUUCGCGAAAUGCAGUCAGCUUGAGUGGCUCUUGGGUUGACUCUAACCUGGAUCUCCCUUCCUCUCUUCUCUUCCUUCCUCUUUGAAUGGUGUUUCCUUAAUCUGUGAGGGUGAUGCUGGUGGGUAACAGCUAGCUUCUGGCACCUUCAUAAAAUACCUCAGCAUAGCUUAGCAUUGUUGCAACUGGUUUUAAACUAAAAACCAAAUAAAUAAGUAAAAAGAAAAAAACUUUAUAAAUAGUGGAAAUAAUUCUAGCUGUAGCAUUUAGUUGAACCGAUGUUUAUUAUGAUUGAUGAACAUGAUUGAUGCUGUAUGUAUUUGGGAUCCUGCUUAUAGGUUACCGUUUAUAGGGUUAGGGAGGGUUGGGGUGGGGGAAGAGGAGAAGUUGAUUAUGUUAGAAGGAAAACCUUGCUCAUAUGUGUUUGUUUGUUUUCCUUAUAUCUGUCUUGCCAAAGGAAACUUGAUUAUCCCUGUGAUUGGGUUUGGGAUUCGUUGGCCUCUCUGUGGUCUGACCUGCAGUGCAGUGUGGUGGCAUGCAGGUUACACAUGGGUUAUCCAGUAGGUUCAGGGUCCCCUAGGGCAUUUACAUCCCUUCCCAUGGCUGCCCAUGUCCCCAGACCCUGCCAGCCUCUCUGAUGAUUCAUUACCUCUGUGUGUAGCAAGAGCUUAGGCAAAGGAUGAAUGUGUGAAUGUCUGGGUGUGUCGUGGAGAAAUAGAGGCAGAAGUAGACAUGCCUCAUUUAAUUUGAAGAGGAGAGGAGAGACGAGUUUGAUGCAUCCUAAUCUAGGAACAUUAAAAUAAAACAGGUUCUUUUUGUCAGCCUCUGUCAUGUUGUUGAGUGUUGUGCUGGUAGCACAACGUUCUAAAACCCUACUUCCUUUUCUCUUGCCAACGCUAAUUCUGUCUAGACCAAAAACGCAAGCAGAAGAAAAACCAAACCAAGAAGUUGGAAGCCAGCCUGCUUCCUCACACCUGGGGUCGGGUGUGACCUUUAGGGAUUGGCUGGUUGGUGAGACUGAGGAGAGUAUUGUUGGUGGCAAUGUGAGUGAGAAAUGGUGCCAGUUUAGGAAAAAUUAAGAGCCCUUUCUGCCCAUCCUUUGGGACAGAUUUCUUGGCUUCCCGAGUUCAGAUAAAGCCUAUAUUUCCAGAAAGGCUAUUUUUAAAUAAACAAUCCAUCUCACAGAACUUAAGUGGGAUUUGGUUUGGAUACCAAAGACACUUCCAUGUCAUUGUCUAUCCUUAUGUUUGCAAAACAGGCAGAGGGAAUAGGAGAAAAGGCUGGAAUCUGGAAAAGCUUUCCUUUUGUCUCUUUCCUUUUCCUCUCCCCUCUCUUCUUCCCCCCCGCCCCGUUCUCCACUUUUUGAAGGAUGUCUCCUUGGUUAUCCUGGCUUUGGAAAGGAGACUUACUGAGUUUCACUCUGCUGGCUCCGUGAAGGUGGAUAGUCGCUCAGUGCAGCAGUGAUGUUCUUGGAAUUGCUGGGAAAUUUAGGGGAGGGAAGAAGAUGGGGGUGGAAUUCUUAUCGUUGUUUCCCUUUAUCUAACACUUAUAAAUAGAACCAGUACAGCCUGUUUGAGCUCAGGCGGUAUUUAGAUGUGCUUCUGUGCCGUCUGUUCCGUCACGUGUAAAGGAUAAGCAUUUUCAAGAGCAGGAUGGCCUGGAAAACUAGCAGGCCUUCCUUUCCCCCCUUGGAGCUGCACUGCUCCAUGGGUUUUGUGUGUGGCUCCAGAAGCUGGGUAGUUCAUUGUUCUGGUGACUCUUGAUGGGACACAGAAAGGGAGAGGGGAACGAAACUUAAUGCUCUCUUAAUAUGCCAUCAAAAACAAUCAGGUUGCAGAACUUCAUGAAAGCUUUACUAGUCAUCUUACUGUUCUGACAUUGUGUAAAAGUGGUAUUAACAUUGUGUGACCUUUCAAAGCGCUACGUAGGUUUAUAAGUAGGUAACGGGGAUAUUGAAGAUCAGAGCACUUGAAACAAAGUUAUGGGGAAACAGGUGUGCAUGGUGGAACCCCACUUUGAGCAGGCAAGUGACACUCCCUGGGGCUCAGGAGGGAAGGUUCCGUUUGUGAUUCUUUCUGUGUCCCCGGAUCUGCCCACUCUGCGCAGAGCUCCGCCACCCAGCGCCCCUUCUGCUUCAAACCCAGGACACUGUCAGAAAGUUCACCCCAAAACUAAUUUACUAUAAAAACAUUGAGGUCUGCUGCAAAGUUCCCUGACUUUCCCUGGUUUAUUCAUCCGUCCUUGUUUCGGGCCGGCCACAGCCGACACAGAAGCAGCCUUAGGCUUCCUUCGUAACUGGGCUGCAGCGUUGGGUCCCCUAACGCUGCACCCCAAGUCUGCAGGCAGACAGCCGGCCGCAGUGCUGUUAACAAGAGGGGACAUCCAAACACUUGCUCAAAGGUGGGAUCUCCUUCGACCGAGAAAGGACAGAGGCAAGAGGAGAAAAGACUCUGCGCUCCCACCCAGCCCUCACAGUGUCUCAAGGUCUUAACGAUAGAGCAGGAAAUGAAAUGCACUUUCAGAAGCUAAAAGGACAGUUGGGAUAGGAAAGGCUGUCGUAGGCGGGGGGGGGGGGGGGGGGUGCCAUGUCUUUGGCUCCGACCCUGCUCUGCACAAGGCACAUACUUCUAAGAGGACAGUGGACCACUGCCUGCCUGGUUGUGUUUAAAACGGCAGACAGUUGGGAGGGGAAAAAAGGAGGGAGCAUAUGACUUUGCAACCAUAUUAUAACAUUGGCUUUCCACAACAUAAAUGGUGUGUCUCCUGUGUCCCCUGAGUUCAGAUAAAGAGGAGAAACAGGCAUCUCCCAGCUUCUUGCCUCUGCUUGAGUGGGCACGUGUGCAUUACCCACUCCACAGAGCCUCCCUCUCCGAGGACACGCCCUCCUCCCACGGUAGACCGUGGCCCCACUUCCUCCAUCUGUGGCAGUAGCACAGGCUAGGUGAGUAAGCGUGGGGCUCCUGCCCACCACACGUCCGGGAGCUGUCGUAUACCUCAUUUCUAACUCGUGACCGAGUAACUUGCUUUAACUUUCUCUAAACCCUACAGAGUUGCCAAGUCUGCCCUCCCUCUGAGUAAUGUUGAACUCUGGCCUAUAGCAUCACGGGACCUGGAGCCUAGGGUGGGACCUCGUAAAGCCUCUGAAUGUCGCUGCUUACAAGCUACUGCAAACUGAGGGCAAAUUGCAAUCUUCUCUUUCUUUUUGUUGCAAGGGGUCUUCACAGGUCUCCUAACAUCUGCUUUCCCCAGCACCCUGCCUGGAGCGGCUGGCCAGCUCUCCGCACCCCGCCCCCUCCCACCUGUCUGACUGCUGGCUGCACAGUAACUCUUGUACUUGCCUUUCCCCCAGUGGGUGGAGGCCAUCCCUUCCCCUCUGAGGCCUCAGGGUUCUGCUUAUUUUCAGGACUUUGGGUGGAAGGGAAGACACCAAAGGCUCCCUUAAGCUGACUGCUGCGUACACAUUUCACUUUUUUCCUUUGACAUGACCAAAAAGAAAAAAUCCAAAUAUUUAAGUUUUUAUUAUUAAUGUUGUUAUUAUUUGACAAUCUUAUAUCCACCAGGCUCUCUAGAAGCUGCAUCCCCAGCCCUUUCACCUUUUCUUUGAAUGUAGUUCCCCGACCCUCAGCUCCCACCCCAGCGCUGGGAAAGCUCUGCCAGGUCUUGAUACUGCUGCUGUAAGCCAGGGAGGGUGGUUUCUUUGUUUUGUUUUGUUUUGUUUUGUUUAAAUUUCCAGCCAAAACCAAAGAUUUCUUAAUGAUUGUAUAAACUCAAAACAAACAAAAAAACCAAAGAAAAGGGAAGUCUUCAGCGUCAGUCCAGUCUGUGGCGUCCUGGCGUUUGGCGGAGGGAGGCCAGCAGGCGGGGCCCUCCGCAGGGGAGGCCGGGGGUCUGUGCCCCACGCCGGGGUCUACAGAGGUGCCUCCCAGGAGCUCUGGCUCUUUCAGCUGUGCACGUGCUGUGGAACACAUUGGCAUUUCAGAUAUUCCAAAACCAUAGACAAAACCCCGUCGCCACGAUUGUCCACGGACACUAACACGUCACACGGGAGCUUAGCGCGGCCGUGGACACCACAGAGUGGGGGAGCUGGAGACGCUGGCGCACGAUUGGCGGCUCUGCUGGGUGCUCUGACCUCUGGGCCGUGAGGGGAACACACACCCACGGGCCCUUCUGAGCCUUUCUUCUCUUUUCCUGUACUGGAACUGCUUGGAAGUGGCUGUCCUGUUUGUGAGGAAACAUGCAGAACGAUGAUCGAGCUUGUCAUUUCUCCUUCUUGUGGUCGGUUUCUUUUUCAGCGCCACUGUGCAACUAUGCAUUGUGUUCACGACCUUUCGCUCUAGGCAGAUGCCUGUGACUUUUUAACUUGGGGGGUGGGGGGCUUGCAAAUGAAGGGACUUUUUACAUGGAUCUUUUUAAUCUCAGUUGAUUGGGGGAGGGGGUCUGGUUCUAGGGUCAUACAAGCUCUAUCCCAAAGCAAAAUCCAAAUGUUAAUAAUAUUAGCCUGAUGCAGAUACCAAAGAUGAUUUCUUUCCUGCAGAACCUUAGACUUGUGUAUUAAGUACGAUUACCCAGCACUUGCAUUAGUCUAACCUCAGUAAUUCCAAAGCUUAGAUGUAUAUUUUGGUAUAUUUCUGGGAUAUUAAAAAAAAUGUCGUUUAACUUCUUGUUUGUUUCAGUGUAAUGCCCUUAAAGUCAUAGCAUGAAAAUAACUGAACUGUCCUAUUCUUAGUAGUUUGAAAUAAUAGUAUUUUUGUAUGUUUGGGGUGUGUCUAUGUAUGUAUUGACAUAACAGUUUUCACUGCCUAGGUGUUCAUAAUAAAAAAGAAAAUGAAAACAUUCUGAGUGUACAUAAGAUUUAGUAAUAAACUUCCACUAGGUUCAAUUUGGGUUGCAUAUUCACUGAUUACUGUUCCCAGCUGGGAUUUUGUUUUGUUUUAAAGAGACAGUGAUCAUGUUUUUUCUAAAGGUGUUUUCUUUCUAUCUUUAAAUAUCUUAACUCCCCCACCUUUUUCUUUUCUUCUUGUUUUUUAAAGAUAUUGAUUCAGGGGUGUUUUUCCACUGUUGUCAAGGGAGGGUCACAAGGGGAAAUUGACCCCUUGGUCUCCCAAAACUUUUUGUUUUAUGUACUUAACUUUAAAAUGUGAGUUUGAGUUCUCUUUUGUGGAAACUUAAGAUGUGGUGUAAAUGAUUCUUUCCAAACUUGUCCAGCAGCUUUACUGAGGCAGUGACAAUUCCUGAGUGGUUUAUUGGGAGUCCUCUGACAUUUCUCCGUAGGUGACUCUGCAGUCUGGGUGGCUGUUGUAUGGCUUCACUGCCCAGGGCACCCGGUUAGCCGUUUCCCCUCUGAUAGGAAUAUUUUAUAAGAAUCAGCUCAUAACUUGGAGUUCAGGACCUUGUUACCUGGGCCCUGGGAAACACACAUUUUCUUGGUUUUGAAAACCCAAAACACACGCAACUUUACAUUUAGGGGAAUUAGCUGGUCCCUCCCGAGGCCUGAGGAGGUGAUGGGGACUAUGAGUGGUGCUGUCUCUUUAAAGUGCCCUUUACAUGAUUCCCCCUCCUGGGGCUGCCUGCAGGGGCUGCAGGCUUGGGAGAGGUUGUGUAGGUGACAGUGAAUCAGAAUGAAAUGAUAGAUUUUGUGUAGAUGCAUUUGUCUGCUGUAAUUUUUUAUAUAUAUUAAACUUACUGUAACUGUACAGUUCAUUUCUGUUGUAAAACAUCAUUAAACCAUUUUCCAAGUGUUUUCACAUGGUUUGAGUUUCUUUGAAGUUGCUGUGUUGGUGUUCUGGACGCUUCACGCAUGCGUUCCCACAGACUGCUCACGUGGCCUCCCG